rnacentral:rRNA from 1 species
AUUGAACGCUGGCGGCAGGCCUAACACAUGCCAGUCGAACGGUAACAGGAAGCAGCUUGCUGCUUUGCUGACGAGUGGCAGACGGGUGAGUAAUGUCUGGGAAACUGCCUGAUGGAGGGGGAUAACUACUGGAAACGGUAGCUAAUACCGCAUAACGUCGCAAGACCAAAGAGGGGGACCUUAGGGCCUCUUGCCAUCGGAUGUGCCCAGAUGGGAUUAGCUAGUAGGUGGGGUAACGGCUCACCUAGGCGACGAUCCCUAGCUGGUCUGAGAGGAUGACCAGCCACACUGGAACUGAGACACGGUCCAGACUCCUACGGGAGGCAGCAGUGGGGAAUAUUGCACAAUGGGCGCAAGCCUGAUGCAGCCAUGCCGCGUGUAUGAAGAAGGCCUUCGGGUUGUAAAGUACUUUCAGCGGGGAGGAAGGGAGUAAAGUUAAUACCUUUGCUCAUUGACGUUACCCGCAGAAGAAGCACCGGCUAACUCCGUG